GUGCUCUCUUAGGCAGCACAUGUACUGAAAUUGGAAUGAUAGAGAAGAUUAGCACACCCCUGUGCAAAAAUGGCAUGCAAAUUCAUGAAGUGUUCCAUAUUAAA